rnacentral:lncRNA from 1 species
GGUUGAGGAGCGACCCUAGUCCUUCGAGCUUCAUGGUUCAAUUGCUCCUCUUGAUGUCGUGCGAAAGAGAUGGCUGCCAUAAGCGUGUACGGUUGUCGCGCUUUAACUUCUUCUCGGAUCUCCAGCUUCAAGCCCUCAAUGAAGGUCCUCAAUAGCUGUUUUUGAGACCAAUCACGAGUUUGAUUAGAUAACCUUUCAAACCUGGUUUGGUACUCCUGAAUGGUGGAGGUUUGUCGGAUCUUUGCUAGUUGUCCGUCAAUAUUCUCGUAAUCGAUUGGUCUGAAGCGGAUCAGCAGUCCUUCUUUGAAUUGUUGCCAUGAAAGGACUCCAUAAGUAUGUUCAAA